CCUACGGGGUGCAGCAGUGGGGAAUAUUGGACAAUGGGCGAAAGCCUGAUCCAGCCAUGCCGCGUGUGUGAAGAAGGCCUUCGGGUUGUAAAGCACUUUCAGUGGGGAAGAAAGCCUUGGGGCUAAUACCCCCGAGGAAGGACAUCACCCACAGAAGAAGCACCGGCUAACUCCGUGCCAGCAGCCGCGGUAAUACGGAGGGUGCGAGCGUUAAUCGGAAUUACUGGGCGUAAAGCGCGCGUAGGCGGUCUGAUAAGCCGGUUGUGAAAGCCCCGGGCUCAACCUGGGAACGGCAUCCGGAACUGUCAGGCUAGAGUGCAGGAGAGGAAGGUAGAAUUCCCGGUGUAGCGGUGAAAUGCGUAGAGAUCGGGAGGAAUACCAGUGGCGAAGGCGGCCUUCUGGACUGACACUGACGCUGAGGUGCGAAAGCGUGGGUAGCAAACAGGAUUAGAUACCCUGGUAGUC
rnacentral:rRNA from 1 species